GUGUAGCUCAGCUGGUUAGAGCAUGGUGCUGAUAACACCAAGGUUACAGGUUUGAUCCCCUUGUGGGACA